GUCUCUUGGUGGUCAAAAGUACACAACUAUCCAGAUCUAGUGUGAGGACGGAGAGUGAAAGACUGGAAAAAGUGAUAAUUUGUUCAAAGCUGUCGCGAAAAAGUGAAUUCACGGACGAGAUUGUGGAAAAAUGAACGUGGAUGAAUGUUGAACCUCUGGUUGAUGGGUGCAGUUACUGCAGGGUGACAGAGGAUGAUAUUCAGGCCAGCCUCAGAAACAUCUUUGAUAACUGUUUUGGUUGGGUCUUGGGUUUUGGGCAACGGCGGUCUCGUGACUCAGACAAACUACUGACUUUAUUUUCAGUGUCGAUUGCAAAGAAUGUAAACUCAGCCCUGAGUCGUAUCACAGGGUCCACAUCCUUGCAAUCAGAUAGGUCCAGAUCCCCAACAAACCUUGUUGGGAUGGUUUACAGUGUAGUCAACAUUUUAGAAGACUAUGCAAAGACCUUAGCUCCCCUUUCUGUAGAUGGUGAGAGUAGCAGCGACAGCAUUGUUGAAAUGCCAGAGUCUGAGGAAGAUAACGACUUUAAACCAGAGUCUGUAGAGACUUUUAAAAGCACACAGACUCAAGCUUGUGUAGGCAAGGAACGUUUGGUUAACAAGGGCCACAGUGAUACAUUUCAAAUCAUUGAUGUCCAAAAUCUUGACAGUGAGAGCUCAGAGAGUGAUGAAAAAUGUAGUGAUGCCCUGCAGUGUUCGUCUGGGACACUUCCU
ensembl:lncRNA